rnacentral:rRNA from 1 species
GACGAACGCUGGCGGCGUGCCUAACACAUGCAAGUCGAACGGAGCACUUCGGUGCUUAGUGGCGAACGGGUGAGUAACGCGUGAGAAACCUGCCUCUCAGUGGGGGACAACAGUUGGAAACGACUGCUAAUACCGCAUAAUGUAUCCGGAAGGCAUCUUCUGGAUACCAAAGCUUUAUGUGCUGAGAGAUGGUCUCGCGUCUGAUUAGCUAGUUGGCGGGGUAACGGCCCACCAAGGCGACGAUCAGUAGCCGGUCUGAGAGGAUGAACGGCCACAUUUGGACUGAGAUACGGCCCAGACUCCUACGGGAGGCAGCAGUGGGGAAUAUUGGGCAAUGGGGGAAACCCUGACCCAGCAACGCCGCGUGAAGGAAGAAGGCCCUCGGGUUGUAAACUUCUUUUACCAGGGACGAAGAAAGUGACGGUACCUGGAGAAAAAGCAACGGCUAACUACGUGCCAGCCGCCGCGGUAAGAC